UACGUAGGGUGCGAGCGUUGUCCGGAAUUAUUGGGCGUAAAGAGCUCGUAGGCGGUCUGUCGCGUCGAUCGUGAAAACUUGGGGCUUAACCCUGAGCUUGCGGUCGAUACGGGCCUGACUGGAGUUCGGCAGGGGAGACUGGAAUUCCUGGUGUAGCGGUGAAAUGCGCAGAUAUCAGGAGGAACACCGGUGGCGAAGGCGGGUCUCUGGGCCGAUACUGACGCUGAGGAGCGAAAGCGUGGGGAGCGAACAGG
rnacentral:rRNA from 1 species